rnacentral:rRNA from 1 species
UACAGAGGGGGCAAGCGUUAUUCGGAAUCACUGGGCGUAAAGGGCUCGUAGGCGGUCUGUCGCGUCGAAAGUGAAAACUCAGGGCUUAACCCUGAGCCUGCUUCCGAUACGGGCAGACUAGAGGUAUGCAGGGGAGAACGGAAUUCCUGGUGUAGCGGUGAAAUGCGCAGAUAUCAGGAGGAACACCGGUGGCGAAGGCGGUUCUCUGGGCAUUACCUGACGCUGAGGAGCGAAAGUGUGGGGAGCGAACAGG